rnacentral:rRNA from 1 species
UGGGGAAUUUUGGACAAUGGGCGAAAGCCUGAUCCAGCAAUGCCGCGUGUGUGAAGAAGGCCUUCGGGUUGUAAAGCACUUUUGUCCGGAAAGAAAUCCUUGGCUCUAAUACAGUCGGGGGAUGACGGUACCGGAAGAAUAAGCACCGGCUAACUACGUGCCAGCAGCCGCGGUAAUACGUAGGGUGCAAGCGUUAAUCGGAAUUACUGGGCGUAAAGCGUGCGCAGGCGGUUUGCUAAGACCGAUGUGAAAUCCCCGGGCUCAACCUGGGAACUGCAUUGGUGACUGGCAGGCUAGAGUAUGGCAGAGGGGGGUAGAAUUCCACGUGUAGCAGUGAAAUGCGUAGAGAUGUGGAGGAAUACCGAUGGCGAAGGCAGCCCCCUGGGCCAAUACUGACGCUCAUGCACGAAAGCGUGGGGAGCGAACAGGAUUAGAUACCCUGGUAGUCCACGCCCUAAACGAUGUCAACUAGUUGUUGGGGAUUCAUUCCUUAGUAACGUAGCUAACGCGUGAAGUUGACCGCCUGGGGAGUACGGUCGCAAGAUUAAAACUCAAAUGAAUUGACGGGGUCAUAGCUGUUUCCU